rnacentral:rRNA from 1 species
UACGUAGGGGGCAAGCGAUAUCCGGAUUUACUGGGUGUAAAGGGAGCGUAGACGGCAUGGCAAGUCUGAAGUGAAAUGCGUGGGCUCAACCCACAAACUGCUUUGGAAACUGUCAGGCUGGAGUGCAGGAGAGGUAAGUGGAAUUCCUAGUGUAGCGGUGAAAUGCGUAGAUAUUAGGAGGAACACCAGUGGCGAAGGCGGCUUACUGGACUGUAACUGACGUUGAGGCUCGAAAGCGUGGGGAGCAAAC